GGCCUGGCUAAUGGUAACAGCUCCCCAGGUGAAUCAAAUGUGCAGAGUUGAGAAUCACUGUUUGAGACCCAGCCUGAGCUUUUUGGAGCUUCUCCUGCAGAGGCAAACUUAGGUUUUUGGUUGUGCUGUUCUCCCCCGGAUGGAUCCCAAAUGAUUACUGAAGCUUAAUGGUUAGCUUGAUGGUUUACAGAACAUGGUAACACUUGCUGCACUUUGGAUCACUUCAGCCAAAGGUUUGUUGCUGUAUUAAUUGGCUUCAGAGAAAACAUUGCCUUCACUUAAACGGUUUGAAUACCUCUUGUUGAAUCAUAGGCCUGAGUCAAGUGUUAUUAAUUCAAGAAUCUUUUGUCCAUAUCAGAUAAACGUUGCCAUAGCAAAUGUAGCGUAAACAGAUCUGUUCAAGUCACAACAACCUAUAGAAGCCCACAGACAAAGCAGGACCAGUUUUGUCUUCACAGAAGGCCUAGUGCUGCAUUAAAUGCUAUCCAGUUGGCCUGGUGUAUAGCCACAUGAAUCACGCGCUGAUGAAUGGAACCUGGGAUCCACAGAUCCCAGGCAGAAGCCUUUGUCAUCGGGUUUUAUCAAAUGUGAACAGUCAGUGGAACAUCUGGCUUUAAUACUGAUAGAAACUGUAGGAUUUUGGCUGUUCUCUGGCCUUGCAUAUUUUCCAUCUUCUCUAUCAGCACUUGUCAGUGAUUUGAUGAAGUUAAAUCGACUGCAUCUGAUUCUUCGAGCCCACGAAAAAUUGCAGAAUGCUUGCUCCUAUCUCUCACUCUUACUCACUCAGAGUAAGUUUGCAGUGAGUUGGUUUGGGUCAUGAGCCUGAGAAUUUAAGGAGGAAAGGGGUGAACAGAGAACCUUCCAAAGCCUCGUCUCAGACGAACACUCCUUUUGCUCAACAAUCAAAGAC
rnacentral:lncRNA from 1 species